UCUAAAUCUAAUUAUGAAGAAAUAAUCAAGAAAAGUCCAAAUUGAGAAAAAUUUGUGAAAGGAAUAGUCUUUGUUUUGUUACAUAUAUACAUAUACUACAUAUGCAAAUAUAUAUCCCCGAAGCUGACCUUGAGAAAGAAAUUCAUGAACCAUUCCUUUUUUUUUUUUUAAUUGCAUUUUAGGUUUUGGGGUACAUGUGAAGAAGAUGCUACUGAGCCAUUCCUUAGGAGUGUUCCCAGGAGAAACAGGAAAGUGAAAAGUUAAGUCAGUCUAAGAAGAAUAAAAAGGCCAAGGCCAAGUGCAUUAUCAGCAAUCUCCAGGGAGCUACCUCAGUCCCUCGAGGUUGAACAUAUCCGAGAAGACUUCCCAGCAAAGACUGAGGACUCCUACAUCUGGAAAACUGAAAAAGAGAAAGUAAGGUCUAUCUUGUACAAAACUCUGCAUAUCAGUGCUCUGUUUGUUACAACAAUUAAGCCAAUAACCCAAUACUGUGGAGAAUAUCAAGCAUCCAGUUUUUCACACACAUGCAUAAAAGUACUCCUCUUACAGACUCAUUUCUAAGGUUGAGGAAAAAGUAACUCUUUCCCAGGGAUCUGGAUUGAAAGUUAUUAUCUCUAGUGUCAUCCAAAUUUGAACCUUAAUUAAUAUUAGAAAGGAGUCAGAUUAGACAUCAGGGAGAGGCUUCUAAAUUCGCAUUUCUGCCAAGAUAGAGUCUUCUUUUAUUAUUUCUAAGAGAGCUAGGUAUCCUUGGAAGUCACCUCGUCUAGACUGUAACCAAAUAAUGAUGAAACAUAAUAAUCCUACAAAGACUUAGCAUAUGAUCUACACAAUUAUAUAAUUCGAUAAAAAGCUCAAAUUAAGGCUCUCUAUAUUUGUGAAAGUCAGGUUUCCAUAGCCUCUGCCUGGGGCUAAGACAGACUAAAUAAAACUAUUUUUGCAUAUGUGAAUAUAUACCUCAACAAGCCAAAUACUGUAUAAUCUGACUAAACUGUAGGGUUCUAAAAUGAUAACUUCGUUUACCUCUGCGUGGGAGAAUUGUUAGUGAUUUUAUGUGUCUCUUUUUUGUUGACUUUUCUCAUUGAGAAUAUAAUAUUUUGAAAUUAUAUUAAAUAAUACUUAUGAAAUUAAGAAACAGUUCUUUUAAAAACUCAUCAAAAAAUAUGUAUAGAAAGAGCCUAUAUCAGUUAUCUAUUGAUGAAUAACAAACAAUGUCAAAAUUUAGUGACCUAAAAAAAUAAAUUAUUAUCUCACAUUUUUGUGGGCCAAAGC
rnacentral:lncRNA from 1 species